rnacentral:lncRNA from 1 species
AUGUGUGAAAAGACAGCCCAUGUGGUCAGCGCUGUGACGCAGAUGAAGAAGCUGCAGGCCAGAAAAUACAAGGAUGCUGUUCUGUUCACUGACCCUGCUGCAGAUACUGAUGACAUGGCAGAGGCUAAACAGAGAGCUCUUCUUGAUCAGCGCCAUCUAGAGACGUACCACAGGAUUCACCGGCUGAGGGACAGACUGUACCAGCACUACUCUGAGUUACUGACAGAGAAGAUCCAGAGACAGAGGCAGGAGCUGAAGAUGCAUCAUGACUCAGCUUCCCAGAAAAACACAGAAAAUGACACUGAACAGAGAAAAAGAAAACCACCCGUCCAGAAGCUCAUAGCUUCAACCCUCAAGCAUGAUGAUGCGUAUCUGGCUGCUUUACCUAAAACACGCUAUUAUCUGAUCCUGGAGCUUCAGAGGCUCCUGGCCCAGCGUGGGUGUCUGCAGGGUCCCAGGGAGCAGGAGGUGUUCCAGCACUGGGUGGACCAGGCCAAAACAGCACAACUGGAGAAACAGCUACAGCAGAUCGUGCUUCGCAGCAAGUCAGCUCCAGUGCUGACGGUGGAAGACUUGCUAAAGAAGAAGAAGAAGAAGAAGAAGAUGCCGGAACAUCUCCCACAGAUACAGGUCUCAACUGAAGAGAGCUCAACCCAACAGAAGCAUCAGACUGCAGUCUCAGAGAGUGCAUCAGGAGCGUUAGCUGUCUCUCCUCGUCUCUACAGCAAGCAGAUUCAGAACCAAACUGAGCUGAAGUUUCCCAGCGUCUUCUCACAGGAGCUCAGAGUGCCCAGGUUCUCCACUCUACAGCCCAGAUUUCUGGAGACCUUCAAGACCAACCCUCUUCUUCUGAGAGUGAAGGAGGCACCUCACCAAUCGAAAGCUGCAGUCGUGACCCAACACCAGCUUCGCCUGAUGCACAGCCUCUCCCUGUCUCACAUCGCUCACACACACAGACUGCUGGACAAAACGGGACUUGCUCUUCAUCGUGAUACAGGAUACAGCAUCAGCGACCUGUUGGAGCAUGUGUGUCCAAACAAAAUCUCAAUUAAAGAACCGAGAUGUUCAACACAGCCUCUUCUCCCACCACUGCAGUCUCUGGAAGAUCACUCCAAAACUGAACUUCCAAAACCUUCUAUGGAGGACACAGUCACUCCAUCCCACCAGGCAAGCAGCAGGAAACAGACUGACGACUCUGCGUUAAGCUACGAUAAAGCUCCGAACUCCUCCAGCUCAGAUGUUCCUCUGUCCAUGGAGGACAUUCACUCUCCGAGUAUUUCAUUGGCUAAAGACCCUGAUGACAAGACCUGGACCAAUUAUGUGUCUUAAAGUCAGCACUUUCAGCACUGCUCUGACCCCUUUUAAGAUAAAGAGGCUUUUUUAUACUAAAUUGUGUUUUUCUUGUUGCUUUUGUAACAUUAGAGACUUCUACUAAAAUAUAUCUUUAAGUGUAACUCACAAAUUAUGUAUAUACUUCUGAUAAAUUUGACUCAAUUUAAUCAAAUGCCACUUCAGCAACUGUAAUAUGUACUUUAAAUGUGUUUAUUUAGUUUAUAAAUUUAUAUGAAACAUAUAUUUUAUUAUGUUUCAGAGUCUGAUAUAUGUAAUAUUUGCA